rnacentral:rRNA from 1 species
AGUUUAGGUGGAGAGAUCUGGAAUGACUCCUCACCGAAAGCUUUUGCGCACGAGGAUGGGGCUGCGGCCGAUUAGGUUGUAGGUAGUGUAACGGACCACCUAGCCUUCGAUCGGUACGGGACGUGGGAGCGUGAGCCCGGAGACGGGUACUGAGACAAGGACCUGGGCCCUAAGGGGCGCAGCAUUCGCGAAAACUUCCCAAUGCGCGCAAGCGUGAGGGGGGAACCCCAAGUGCCAGCACAAUGUGUUGGCUUUUCUGGAGUGUGAAAAGCUCCAGGAAUAAGGGCUGGGUAAGACCGGUGCCAGCCGCCGCGGUAACACCGGCAGCCCAAGUGAUGUCCGGUUUUAUUGGGCUUAAAGCGUUCGUAGCCGGUUUGUUAAGUCCCCGGUCAAAUCCGACGGCUCAACCGUCGGUUAUCUGGGGAUACUGGCAGGCUUGAGGCCGGGAGAGGUCAGAGGUACUUCUGGGGUAGGGGUAAAAUCCGAUAAUCCUGGAGGGACCACCAGUGGCGAAGGCGUCUGACUGGAACGGGCCUGACGGUGAGGGACGAAACCCUGGGGAGCGAUCCGGAUUAGAUACCCGGGUAGUCCAGGGCGUAAACGAUGUGGGCUGGGUGUGGGCCAAUCAGAAGGAUUGGUCUGUGCCGAAG